rnacentral:lncRNA from 10 species
UUUUCUUACCAAAAUGCCAUCACAGCAAUCAGAGUUAUAACCAAGGUCUGGAAAACCCAAUUAGGACACGCCUGUCUUUUUCCUGAAAAAUAAACCUAUAAAAAGGUUCAGUAAUGAGCAGUGAUAAAUUAGCAACUCUAACUGUGAGAAGGGAGCCUGGAGAACUGCUCCCAGCAGGGGUAUUUGCUGCUCUCUUGGGAUAGUUUGAGUGCUUGCCUCAAUUUACAUCUCUUUCCUCCUCCCUGCCUCUCUGAAAACAACAUUCUUUCAAAGUCUAUCUCAAGUACCUCCCUUUCCUUGAAAUUCCAAGCUACAGCAAUCUCCCUUUUCCCAGACAUCCUGCAGACAAUGAUCUUUGCCAUUCAUUGGGCACUUACUUAUCUUUGCAGUUUUAUGAGAAACGGGGACCUGAGAUGAGAUGUUGUCAGACCACAGAUGAUGUGCAUCUCUUUGAGUAGGAUACUUUUGAAAAUCAAAAGAUCUUCAAGACAUGAAGAGAUGAAUUCCAAUGGAAUGAUUUCGGGUAUCAUGACAAAUUAUGAAAAAGGUUUUUAUAGAAUGAAAUCCCACUAAACACUUUUUAAAAUUAUAACACCAGUAUUCAAUUUGUCACCUGUAUAUACAGAUAUCUCUGGGCCUGUGUCUUAUUUGUUCUCAUAUUCAUUCAACAAUAUUUAUUGAGCAGUAUUAUGUACAACACUAUAGGAGACAUGAAAAUCAGUAAAUUAUAGUCUCCAGGACGUGAAUGAGACAAAACUUUAGGACUGAUACAUAUUGGUAUAAAAACUUGCAUAUGGGGAACAGGCCAAGAGCUGCAGAAUAACAGCUGUGGAACUGCUGGGGAAUCUGGCUGAAGAGAUAGAAGUUUUCUGCCCACUUAAAUGAGGUGCUACUUAAAUAUGAGUUUCCUAUAAAUGCAAUAAGGAGUAUUAUAUCUGCUUGCUUCCGGGGAAUUUGGGAUAGAGUCAUGCUUUUGGUUAUUAGGGUAUUAGAAUAAGGUAGUAAUAGUUUUAAAUUGGUUCUUGGUUUAAUUUAUUGGGUAGAAUAAGGUGGUAAUAAUUUUAAAUUGGUUCUUGGCUUAAUUUAUUGGGCUAGUUAUCUGACUAAAGUAAAUGUUCUUCAAUGUAACAUAGGGUAGGGGCAUAGGAUUCACUAUACCAUUUUUACCAAGUACACAGACCCUUAGGGCUAUUGUAACUGAGUCAUCUGUAAGUACAGCUGGAAGCUGCUCUGAUGACCAAGAAGUCAAUGGUUUAUACUGUUCUGAGGUCUCACAGAAACUGUUCGGAGGACGUCUUAAUAGUGUACUGCACAGAGAAGAAACUCAAUGAAAUUUGUUGAAUUGACUGGAAUUAAAUAGGAUUAGUCUCAGGGUAAGUGCUUUCCCCUUCAACCUACCCCCACAGCUGCUGAAUUAUUUUAAGUCUCCAUGCUUUUCCUCAAAAUCCUUUGACCUAAUAUAGAGAAAUGGCCUAAGACCUGGAGUCAGACUUAGAGUUGAGUCUUCAAGUUAUCUAAAUGUUAUUGAUCCUCAUUUUCUUUAUCAGUAAAAUAGGAAUAAUAAAAUAAUGCCUGCCUACUUUUUGGAGUUAUUAGGCAUAUCCAAUGAACAGUGUAAUGGCUCUCAAAUUAAGGUGUGCAUAGAAUUACUAUGGUGCUUGAGAAAACCCUAAAUGCCCUACAUGUAAAAUUCUGAUUCAAUAGGUUUUAUUUGGGGGAGGGUAGGGACUGGGAACCUGUAAGAGGUAGGACAAUAAAAAGUAUUUAUCCGUGUUCUUUUUUUUUUUUUUUUUUCUUAGAUAGGGUCUUGCUUUGUCACCAAUGCUGGAGUGCAAUGGCAUAAUUUUGCCUCACUGCAGCCUCUACCACCUGGGCUCAAGCGAUCCUCCCACCUCAGCCUCCCUAGUAACUACAACUAUAGCCACCAAACCCAGUUAAUUUUUUAAUUUUUUGUAGCUAUGGGGUCUCACUGUGUUGUCCAGGCCAGUCUUGAACUCCUGGGCUCAAGUGAUCCACCCACUCUGGCCUCCCAAAGUAUUAAGAUUACAAGCAUGAGCCACCAUGCCCAGCCGUCUUCAUUCUUUCCCUUUCCCUCUCCUCCUCCAAAUAGUCAGUGAAUUCUUAUUUGAACCCUGGGGAGCUUCCUAUCUCAUCCUGAGUCCUACGUAUAGCAAGAAUGACCCACCUACCUCUUGGAGGUGGAGAAAGAGAGGGAAAAAAGAGGAACCCUACUGACUGAAUGAGAGCUACAUCAGGAGACUUCAAUCUUCCUCCAGAAUGAACACCAUCUUGGCCAGCAUUGGGAGCUGUGUGGAAGUAAAGGCAGGGCCCAGCCAGGCUUCUUACCAGCUGGUAAGACCCACUAACUGCUCACAGCAUCAAUUUGCUCAUUAACAAGACCCCCACCCUACCCCAGAAUACCACUCCCCACUCACACACAAGCAUUUCCAUGACCCACAGAGUCCCCAAGGAACAGAGGACAACUAGGAGAUGAGUCGUGGCAUGGAAGGAAAAGUCAACCUCACAGGAAGAGCUCAGAUCUGUUAGCAGGUCAGCACAGAGGGAGCAAGCACUUUGGUUAUUUGUGUUUUAUUGAGCUCCCUGGACAAGUCUGAAAUGAGAUUCACUAAAAUAUUGAGUUUGAACACAUUAAUAACAACCUAUUAUGCAGCACUUUCUAUGUGCCAUGCACCCUUCUAAGUGCUUUACAUCUAUCAAUUUAUUUAAUCCUCACAAUAAUCCUCUACAACCCUAUGAAGCAAGUACCUUUAUCAAUCCCAUUUUAAAAAUAGGGAAAAUGAGACACGGGGAAGGCUAAGUUUCACUCGAGAUCACACAGCUAAUGAAUCACACAGCCAGGAAUUUGAACCCCACAAAAAUUGGCUCCAGAAUCUAUGCUCUUAACCACAGUGCUAUGCUGCCUCCUUUUUACUAUCUGUUUUUAAAGAAGGGAAACUAUACAACUUAGAUAUUGUUAUUAUUCAAAAUGCCUUCACGGCUUCUUUAUUUUCAGCUUCAUCUUCCACUAUCUUCCCUAAACAAACAACUCCCACCUAAUCCUUCAAGGAAGCCAGUUCUAGCCACCAGACUUUCAUUUAUGCCAUUCCAUCUGUAACUUCUCCUUCAAUUUCAUUGAUGUCUAGCCAAAGCUUACUCCUCCUUUAAGGCUCAACUCUCAUAAACCUCCUGGCACUCUGAGCCUCUGCAGCAUUGCUGACAUCCAGGUACAACUGUUCUUUGUAUUUUUUUCCAAUCUUCCCUGGCUACAAUGCAAUUCCUUAGAAGAGACCUGACUCAUCCUUUCUGCCUCCCACAUGCCCUCUACAGUGACAGCAAGAGGUCUCUGAGUUGAACGGGUGCUCUUUAAGCCCUAUAUGAGUCCCUGACCCUGGGACCGCACCACAGC